rnacentral:rRNA from 1 species
GACGAACGCUGGCGGCGUGCCUAAUACAUGCAAGUCGAGCGGAAUGAUGAAGAAGCUUGCUUCUUCUGAUUUUAGCGGCGGACGGGUGAGUAACACGUGGGCAACCUACCUUGUAGAUUGGGAUAACUCCGGGAAACCGGGGCUAAUACCGAAUAAUCCAUUUCGCUUCAUGGCGGAAUGUUAAAAGGCGGCUGUUAGCUGUCACUGCAAGAUGGGCCCGCGGCGCAUUAGCUAGUUGGUAGGGUAACGGCCUACCAAGGCGACGAUGCGUAGCCGACCUGAGAGGGUGAUCGGCCACACUGGGACUGAGACACGGCCCAGACUCCUACGGGAGGCAGCAGUAGGGAAUUUUCCACAAUGGACGAAAGUCUGAUGGAGCAACGCCGCGUGAGUGAAGAAGGUUUUCGGAUCGUAAAACUCUGUUGUAAGGGAAGAACACGUACGAGAGUAACUGCUCGUACCUUGACGGUACCUUAUUAGAAAGCCACGGCUAACUACGUGCCAGCAGCCGCCGUAAGAC